rnacentral:tRNA from 1 species
GGAGCGGUAGCUCAGCACGGUUAGAGCGCUAGCCUGUCACGCUAGAGGCCGCGGGUUCAAGUCCCGUCCGCUCCGCCA